UCUAUGUGUAGUUGCCUGUUAGCACUCGUUUAUAUAGCUUGACGUUUGUUCAGUGUUCUUUCUUUAAUAAAAUAAGUAUGUAGGCUUAACACGCUGCGCCUUGGUCUCCUCCUCCUCCUUACGACGGAUCAACCUAAGUAAUGAUGCGUGACCUGGAUGUCAAAGUCAUUGUCUACUCUCACUUUGGCAAGAUGAGCCCUUCUUCCAGAUGGGACUACAGCUGGCCUAUCACAGUAUGGCUCACCGGCUCAAUCUGCAGUGCGUUCCUGUAGCUCAGGCG